rnacentral:rRNA from 1 species
UUUUUUUAGAUUUAAUUAAAAGUAGUUUCUGCCCAAUGAAUAUUUAAAUGGCUGCAGUAUUUUGACUGUGCAAAGGUAGCAUAAUAAUUAGUCUUUUAAUUGAGGACUGGAAUGAAUGGAUAUAUGAGAAAUAUAUUUUAUUAUUUUAAUUUUUGUAAUUUAAUUUUUAAGUAAAAAAGCUUAAUUAAAUUUUAGGGACGAAAAGACCCUAUAGAACUUUAUUUUUAAUUUAUUUAUAUAAUUUUAGUAUUGAAAUUAUUUUAAUUAAUAUUAAAAAUUUGGUUGGGGGGACAUUUAAAUAUAAAACUUUAAUUUUUUUAUUCAUUUAUUUAUGAUUAUAAUGAUCCAUUAUUAAUUAAUGAUUACAAGACAAAGUUACCUUAGGGAUAACAGCGUAAUUUUAAUGGAGAGAUCAUAUCUAUAUUAAAGUUUGCGACCUCGAUGUUGAAUUAAGAAAAGUUUAAGGGGUAGUUUCUUUAAAAUCUAAGUCUGUUCGACUUUUAAAUUCUU